UACGGAGGGUGCGAGCGUUGUCCGGAAUCACUGGGCGUAAAGGGCGCGUAGGCGGUGCGGUAAGCGUGCGGUGAAAGCUCGGGGCUCAACCCCGAGUCGGCCGUGCGAACUGCUGGACUGGAGCAUGGCGGAGGCGGGUGGAAUUCCGGGUGUAGCGGUGGAAUGCGUAGAGAUCCGGAAGAACACCGGUGGCGAAGGCGGCCCGCUGGGACAUAGCUGACGCUGAGGCGCGACAGCGUGGGGAGCAAACAGG
rnacentral:rRNA from 1 species